UUCCUACGGGGGGCAGCAGUGGGGAAUAUUGCGCAAUGGGGGAAACCCUGACGCAGCAAUGCCGCGUGCGGGAUGACGGCCCUCGGGUUGUAAACCGCUUUCAGCAGGGAAGAUAAUGACGGUACCUGCACAAGAAGCCCCGGCUAACUACGUGCCAGCAGCCGCGGUAACACGUAGGGGGCGAGCGUUAUCCGGAUUCAUUGGGCGUAAAGCGCGCGCAGGCGGGCGCCUAAGCGGGACCUCUAAUCCUGGGG
rnacentral:rRNA from 1 species